GACGAACGCUGGCGGCGUGCUUAACACAUGCAAGUCGAACGCUGAAGCUCAGCUUUUGUUGGGUGGAUGAGUGGCGAACGGGUGAGUAACACGUGAGUAACCUGCCCCCUUCUUUGGGAUAACGCCCGGAAACGGGUGCUAAUACUGGAUAUUCACUGGUCUUCGCAUGGGGGUUGGUGGAAAGGGUUUUUCUGGUGGGGGAUGGGCUCGCGGCCUAUCAGCUUGUUGGUGGGGUGAUGGCCUACCAAGGCUUUGACGGGUAGCCGGCCUGAGAGGGUGACCGGUCACAUUGGGACUGAGAUACGGCCCAGACUCCUACGGGAGGCAGCAGUGGGGAAUAUUGCACAACGGGCGCAAGCCUGAUGCAGCGACGCCGCGUGAGGGAUGGAGGCCUUCGGGUUGUGAACCUCUUUCGCUCAUGGUCAAGCCGCAACAAUGGUUGUGGUGAGGGUAGUGGGUAAAGAAGCGCCGGCUAACUACGUG
rnacentral:rRNA from 1 species